rnacentral:rRNA from 1 species
UACGGAGGGUGCAAGCGUUGUUCGGAAUUAUUGGGCGUAAAGCGCGUGUAGGCGGCUUUGCAAGUCGGGUGUGAAAGCCCUCAGCUUAACUGAGGAAGUGCGCCCGAAACUGCUUGGCUUGAGUACCGGAGAGGAUGGCGGAAUUCCCCAAGUAGAGGUGAAAUUCGUAGAUAUGGGGAGGAACACCGGUGGCGAAGGCGGCCAUCUGGACGGAUACUGACGCUGAGACGCGAAAGCGUGGGUAGCAAACAGG